rnacentral:rRNA from 1 species
UACGAAGGGGGCUAGCGUUGUUCGGAAUCACUGGGCGUAAAGCGCUCGUAGGCGGAUCUUUAAGUCAGGGGUGAAAUCCCGAGGCUCAACCUCGGAACUGCCUUUGAUACUGGGGAUCUCGAGUCCGGGAGAGGUGAGUGGAACUGCGAGUGUAGAGGUGAAAUUCGUAGAUAUUCGCAAGAACACCGGUGGCGAAGGCGGCUCACUGGCUCGUAACUGACGCUCAGGCGCGACAGCGUGGGGAUCAAACAGG